AUGUGGAUUUAUGCAGACGGUUGCUGCUGUUUUUAUGUGUGUUGCAGUGAUCCAAAAAUGGAUGAUGAUGAAUCUUCCGAUGGGUCGUUUUCAACGCGCUUUUCAGCUAGCCGUUUGCGUGAGGUUGCAGAGAAGGAGCUGAAUGCUAACAAGAGGGCAGUGCUAGAGAAGUCGAGUUUUGGUUCGUUGUUGAAGAUCAGACCAUUUUUUGUACCUCUUGAGCUGAUUGACUGGGUAGUUAUGAGAAUUGACACUAAGCAUCCUUUGUUCAGCCAUAAAAAGAAGACUAUAUUGUUCACUAGAGACAUGGUGCAAAAAAAAAUUAAUGUCCCAUCCGGACCAAGGGUAGUGGAGCUGCUGAAGAGGAACGAACGUUGCGAGCUGCGCGACAUAUAUCGAGAAGGCACAAGGGCUCCAAUUAAGAAAUCCAUUUCUGUAAUCAAGAAAGCAUCGGAUAAUGAUGUUGUUACUUUAGAGAGGACUUGGGUUCUUUUAUGCCUUGCUCUCGUGCUAGUUCCUGGCACCGGCAACAUGGUCUCGUUGGACUACCUUGCUAGCUUGAAGGACUUGGAUGAACUGAAUGAGUUUGCGUGGGACGAGCAUGUGUUGGCAACUGCGUUGAGGGAGGCGAGGAAUUACCAACUAAAGAGGGAGGCUGGGGCAAGUGGCUUCUGGAUAGGGGGCUGUCUUCCUAUGUUCGUGUUAAUUUACAUGGAUUUCCUGGAUGUGCCUCGGUCAUUGAUUAGUGAGGAGACGUUCAACUACUCGCUGCCCAGGGCUUGCUUUGUGUGCAAUGCAGAUUUUGAGCUUGUUAAAGAAUUUGACAGGAACAAGCUCACCCUCGAGAAGGUUGAUUUUGGAAAGCGCAAUCAUCGUCCUUUGUCUCAAACGCCAUAUGCAGUACUGAAGGCGGACAAGCAAUGUGAGGGUCAGAAUCAACAUCAUCCGGCAAAUAUCACUAAUAGAGCUGACAAAGGCAACACUCAAGUCAGUGUUGAGGGUGAUUUAGGUGCCAAGUUUCGCGUCUCUCUGGAUGAGUGGCUGCAGCCGCUCCCUUCCUACCAAGAGUUAGAGAUACCUUUGCACUUGAAGCCUAUAUAUGAGAAGCACAAAAAUCUCUAUAUGGCAGAGUUGAAGAAUGUUGUUACCUCUUUUGGGCAGGUCCUGCAGUCAACUUUCUGCAAGCUGUUGGGUCUCAUGUUGAUGGAAGCGCACUCCAAUGCAGUGUCAAACCAUGAGCACAGGAGUGAAGGUUUUGUCGCCCCAAGAGUCAUUGCAACAAGCAGUGUCGAGCGCACGGGAGCGGUGACUUUUGGCACCCCAACAGCCACUGCAGCAGGCAUUGCUAUCCACUCUUCCAAGUGUCCAUUAUUGGAUCCUGAUUCCCGGGCAGAAGCAGGUGCUGAUGAUCAGAACAAGGCACAACCUGGUGGUGUAGUUGCUGCUCCCAAAGUAGUGGAGACCGGUGCAUUAGCUGAGAAGGUUGGGGUGGAAGCGGAACAGGGGGCGGGUCAAAGCACAAGCGUUGCAACGCGUUCCAGGGCUGCUGCGUUGCAACAAGGUGAGAGUAGCAAUCAUUCUCAUGGGAAGGAUUGUGUGGAGCAGGAGGAAGUUAUACAUCAGGGCGGAAAGGUGACCCCCAAAGAUUCUUGCAACAUGGAUCCUUCGGGAGCUUCUGAUAAGGUUGAAACACCAGUUCUUUCCCAGGGCACGGUGCAGGCAAUGAUGGUAACUGCCUUGGAGUGGGAAGAUGGCCCAUCUUGUGCUCUUUUCUCGGAGGGGACCGAAGACUAUGAGUGGAUGAAUCAAAAAGUAGACAUACCAGUCAAGCAUGUGCAGACAACAAAUGCUUCUAGCUCUGAUGUGCAGAAUUCAAUGCCAUCAGUGCCAAACUUUGACAACACUCCUCAAGUUGAAAGGCCUAGCAACCUCCCAACCGCAACAUUUGACACAGCUCCAAAGCUCCCUAGGGCAAACGACAUUCCGUGGCCUGUGUUUGAUGUGUCCUCCAUCUCAUUCAAAAACGCUUCCUCCGAUGGACCUCAAGUAGUAGUGGAUUUGCACGAGACAACCGAGGCGAAUGUUGAGGUCAGGGGUGAGUCCAACAGUCUUGGUAAACAGUCAAAGAAGAAAAGGGUGGCUGUCUCCCCAGACAAUGUGCCAACGAUGAAGAAGAUUAAGGUUGAUGCACACGGUGAUGCCUUACACCAUCAGUAUGUAAUGACCAGAUACAAGACAAGAAAACCAAAGAAAAACGAGCUUCUGCCCGACUUCAUUGAAAUAGAUGGCUUCCAUACAUCUCUCGAGAAUUUUCAUGCAUCUCUAAAGCCAAGAGCGGAGAUUGACAAUGAGGUCAUGACCUUAUACCUGAAGACAUUCAACUAUGAUCAGUCAGUGAAGAAGAAGAAGCCAAAAAAAUUUGUUUUCUCAAUGUUGAUGAGUUUGAAACUCAGUGCUGAGCCAGAUGUGUUUGAUCCGAAGGUGUGCGAAAAAGAAUUUAAGAAUGCUUGCUUACAAAAUCACAUUUCGAAAUCUGACCUGCUAUUCUUCAUGGUUGUACACAAAAGGCACUGGGCAGUAGUAGUUGUUAACAUCACCCAAAAGGAGUUCAAUAUCUUUGACUCCAUUAGGAACUCGGAAGACCUUUUUGAGAUGGACAGGAUCACUAAGAAUGUGGUCGCAAACAUCAAGAGUGUUGCAAUGAGGGAGCCACUUUUUAAGCACAGUCUCGAGUCUUACUCGCUAUUCAUCCCACUUGAUUACCCUCAACAAAAAACUUACUAUAACUGUGGCUACUAUAGUAUUUUAUACGUGGAGAAUUGGGAUGGCCUUGUUAUGCUGUCAUUUGGCGAGGAUUACAUCCCAAACCUUCGGAAACGCAUUGCAGCAGAUCUGUUGAGACACCCAAGCAACAAGUUGGACCCCGCGCAUCAGCUGAAGCUGCUUCUUCAGCGUUAG
rnacentral:rRNA from 1 species